rnacentral:rRNA from 1 species
CGUGUAGGCGGCCAGGUAAGUCAGAUGUGAAAGUCCCGGGCUCAACUCGGGAAGUGCAUUUGAAACUGCUUGGCUUGAGUAAGAGAGAGGAAAGUGGAAUUCCUGGUGUAGAGGUGAAAUUCGUAGAUAUCAGGAGGAACACCGGUGGCGAAGGCGGCUUUCUGGCUCUAUACUGACGCUGAGACGCGAAAGCGUGGGUAGCAAACGGGAUUAGAUACCCUGGUAGUCC